rnacentral:lncRNA from 1 species
AUGAAUUGGCGCUAUACAAAUAAAAUUGAACUGAAUUUAUCCAAUCAUCUGCCAAGUAUUUUUUUAAAGUGUCUGCCCUUUUCCAAACAGUUACCAACAAGGACUUCCCAGAUGGUUCUGUGUAACAAUCGGAUGCAGUCAGACACAGAGCUGGAGCAGUCACAAACCACCUUUUUUGAAAAACAACGUGCUGGAAAAGAAGGAGACUAUACACUCUCCAAAGAGCGUCGCUGUCCCUUAAUAAGGAAUACAGUAACAAGCAUGAUUGCCAUCAAGAGAGCUGCAGGGGAUGACUUCCAAUAUCCAUGCAGCCAUGAGCUAACUUUGAUGGCUAAGUGUCUCGUUGAGUACUACCCAAUGCUGCGGGACAGGUCUGCAGCCAGUGGAGCUGAGUGGGAAUCUGUGAAGAAGCAGCUUUUGAAAAAGGUCCAGAAUGUGACACCCCCCAAAAAGAAGCAGGGAGCAACUCCUUCAAGAAAGAGGCGACGGGGCAUUAGCUUUGAGAGCAGCAGCAGCCAGGAGUCAUCUGCUGAUGACACCGAGUCCACUGCUUCAACUUUAAUCUUGGAAAGAUCACCACAGUCAAUAGGCAGUUCUCCAGAGGCUGAACAAGUGGAUGGAGGGCCUAAAACGACUGACAGCGCACAGAACCAGGCAAGACACUACAAAGUUCUGCAGGAGCUAUACAAAUCCAGGCCCAGACCCAACAGCAAGGAUGUUGCCCAGCUGUUGGACCUUGAAUACCAAGCAAGACGGGCUUAUAUUGACACUGAUGUUAUGAAGGAGCAGGACAGGCCUACCAAGAUUCUUGAAGCAUAUCCCUGCUUCAGAGAAGUGGAUCAUAGUAAAGCAAACCAUUGCCAUGGUGAAGGCUUUGCCUGA